rnacentral:rRNA from 1 species
CAGUAGCCGCGGUAAUACGGAGGAUCCAAGCGUUAUCCGGAAUCAUUGGGUUUAAAGGGUCCGUAGGCGGUCUUGUAAGUCAGUGGUGAAAGCCCAUCGCUCAACGGUGGAACGGCCAUUGAUACUGCAGGACUUGAAUUAUUGGGAAGUAACUAGAAUAUGUAGUGUAGCGGUGAAAUGCAUAGAUAUUACUUAGAACACCAAUUGCGAAGGCAGGUUACCAAGAUAUAACUGACGCUGAGGGACGAAAGCGUGGGUAGCGAACAGGAUUAGAGACCCCGGUAGUCCCUGUCUCUUAUAC